GAAUAUUAGUCAAUGAUCGAAAGAUUGAUCUAGUUACUUAGAAAGAUGAAAAUUAUAAAUAAAAAGAAGAAGAAUAAGAAUGAAGAAUAUAAAAUCAAUAUAUAUUAUAAAAUAAAUAAUGAUAAUAUAGUAUAUAGAAGUCUUAACAAAAAUUAGUGCCAGCAGUUGCGGCUAAACUAAGGAGGCAAACGUUAAUCAUUAAAGGCUUAAAGGAUCCGUAGAACGAAUAAAAAAGAAUAGAGUUAAAUAAGAAAAAUAAUGAAUAAUAAUUAUGAGAGAUGAAAUGUAAUGAUAAUUAUUAGACAAUCAAUAGUGAAGAUAGAAUUUAAUAUUUAACUGACGUUGAGGGAUGAAGGCAUGAGUAAUAAACCGGAUUAGAUACCCGAGUAAUUCAUGCAGUAAACGAUGAAUACUAAAAAAAUAAGCGAAGGCUAAAGUAUUCCGCCAGGUGAGUAUAUUCGCAAGGAUGAAAUCCAAGACAAUAGACGGUUACAGGUGUAGGCAGUGGAUUGUGUUAUUUAAU
rnacentral:rRNA from 1 species